rnacentral:rRNA from 1 species
GUGUCAGCCGCCGCGGUAAUACAGAGGGUGCAAGCGUUGCUCGGAUUUACUGGGCGUAAAGCGUACGCAGACGGCUUGGUAGGUCGAAUGUGAAAGCCCCGGGCUCAACCCGGGAAAUGCAUUCGAAACCACCUCGCUCGAGUAUGGGAGAGGGAAGCGGAAUUCCUGGUGUAGAGGUGAAAUUCGUAGAUAUCAGGAGGAACACCGGCGGCGAAGGCGGCUUCCUGGCCCAUUACUGACGUUCAGGUACGAAAGCGUGGGUAGCAAACAGGAUUAGAUACCCUGGUAGUCCACGCCGUAAACGAUGUGUGCUGGAUGUCGGGGGUAUUCACCCCCUCGGUAUCGAAGCCAACGCGAUAAGCACACCGCCUGGGGAGUACGGCCGCAAGGUUGAA